rnacentral:rRNA from 1 species
CAACGAGCUAGAGUUUGAUCCGUGGCUACGAGGACGACGCUGGCGGCACGCUUAACACAUGCAAGUCGAACGGAGAUACUGAGAGCUUGCUUUUGGUAUCUUAGUGGCGGACGGGUGAGUAACACGUGAGCAACCUGCCUUUGAGAGCGGAAUAGCUUCUGGAAACGGAUGGUAAUACCGCAUAACAUUACUUUACCGCAUGAUAGAGUAAUCAAAGAAUUAUCGCUCAAAGAUGGGCUCGCGGCUGAUUAGAUAGUUGGUGGGGUAACGGCCUACCAAGUCGACGAUCAGUAGCCGGACUGAGAGGUUGAACGGCCACAUUGGGACUGAGACACGGCCCAGACUCCUACGGGAGGCAGCAGUGGGGAAUAUUGCACAAUGGGCGGAAGCCUGAUGCAGCGAUGCCGCGUGGAGGAAGAAGGUUUUCGGAUUGUAAACUCCUUUUAUCAGGGACGAUAAUGACGGUACCUGAAGAAAAAGCUCCGGCUAACUACGUGCC